rnacentral:rRNA from 1 species
AUACAGAGGGUGCAAGCGUUAAUCGGAAUUACUGGGCGUAAAGCGCGCGUAGGUGGUUCGUUAAGUUGGAUGUGAAUCCCGGCUCAACCUGGGAACUGCAUUCAAAACUGACGAGCUAGAGUAUGGUAGAGGGUUGGUGGAAUUUCCUGGUGUAGCGGUGAAAUGCGUAGAUAUAGGAAGGAACACCAGUGGCGAAGGCGACCACCUGGACUGAUACUGACACUGAGGUGCGAAAGCGUGGGGAGCAAACAGGAUUAGAUACCCGGUGUC